AUUGAACGCUGGCGGCAUGCUUUACACAUGCAAGUCGAACGGUAACAGGUUAAGCUGACGAGUGGCGAACGGGUGAGUAAUGCAUCGGAACGUGCCCGAUCGUGGGGGAUAACGCAGCGAAAGCUGCGCUAAUACCGCAUACGAUCUGAGGAUGAAAGCGGGGGACCGUAGGCCGCGCGCGAUCGGAGCGGCCGAUGUCAGAUUAGGUAGUUGGUGGGGUAAAGGCUCACCAAGCCAACGAUCUGUAGCUGGUCUGAGAGGACGACCAGCCACACUGGGACUGAGACACGGCCCAGACUCCUACGGGAGGCAGCAGUGGGGAAUUUUGGACAAUGGGCGAAAGCCUGAUCCAGCAAUGCCGCGUGCAGGAAGAAGGCCUUCGGGUUGUAAACUGCUUUUGUACGGAGCGAAAAGGCUCUCUCUAAUACAGGGGGCUCAUGACGGUACCGUAAGAAUAAGCACCGGCUAACUACGUGCCAGCCGCCGCGGUAACAC
rnacentral:rRNA from 1 species